UUAUUAUUUCAACCUACACACUUCUAACUCAAAAGAUAUCCCAAAUUUGAACAGUGAUAUAUUUGAUAAUAUCAAGGCAUUAUUAAUUUUCAUAAACAUAAUAGUUCAUGUUUUUCAAAAAGAACCCUUACUUUCUAGAGAUACAUACAAAAAUAUGUACCAAUAAAAUUAUAAAUAAUGGCAUUUGCUCUAAAAAUGGAGGGGUAGAGAAUAAAAGCAUAAGUAAUGCCAUGUAAAGAUCACAAGAUGAAAACAGGUCAAACUGCGUGAUGUCUACACGUGGGCUCAUUAUAGCUUUGCAUACAUUUGAAUCUGUCCAUAACAAAAAGAAAAAGAAAAAAGAAACAUCAAUCUCUCUCUCUCAAUAUGUAUGAUAAGAACUUAUACAGAUUU